rnacentral:misc_RNA from 1 species
GAGGAAAUGGAGUAGCAGCUACAGGCACUGGACCAAAUGCUAGCUAUGGACUUGGCCAAUGCUAUGGUGAUCUUUCAUUAUCCGACUGUGUCUUAUGUUUCUCUGAAGCGCGAACCGUCUUUCCCCAGUGCUUCCCUAGUAACAAGGCGCGAAUUUAUCUUGAUGGCUGCUUUAUGCGAGCGGACAAUUACAAUUUCUAUGACCAGUAUUUUGGUCCAGAGGACAGGCAUGUGUGCGGAAACA